rnacentral:rRNA from 1 species
UGGGGAAUAUUGGACAAUGGGCGCAAGCCUGAUCCAGCCAUGCCGCGUGAGUGACGAAGGCCUUAGGGUUGUAAAGCUCUUUUGGCGGGGAAGAUAAUGACGGUACCCGCAGAAUAAGCUCCGGCUAACUUCGUGCCAGCAGCCGCGGUAAUACGAAGGGAGCUAGCGUUGUUCGGAAUCACUGGGCGUAAAGCGCACGUAGGUGGGCAGUUAAGUCAGGGGUGAAAGCCCGAGGCUCAACCUCGGAAUUGCCUCUGAUACUGGCUGUCUAGAGUUCGAGAGAGGUGAGUGGAAUUCCUAGUGUAGAGGUGAAAUUCGUAGAUAUUAGGAAGAACACCGGUGGCGAAGGCGGCUCACUGGCUCGAUACUGACACUGAGGCACGAAAGCGUGGGGAGCAAACAGGAUUAGAUACCAUGUAGUCCCUGAGCGGGCUGGCAAGGCGCAU